rnacentral:lncRNA from 1 species
AUCUCAGGAGAUCCUGCCUUCAUACCUUUGCUCAUGCUGCCUGGGAGAGCCUCCCUUCCACCUGUUCACAGCCAAGCUCUCUGAGCCUGAGCUCUCUCUGCCAUGAAGUCUUCUUUGAACCAUGAAAGAAGCUGGUGGAUGGAGAUGAAUGAGCUUUUGUUUCUGAAAAGCUGAAUUUUUAUUUCUUAGCUGAUAUACAUGGAGUCAGAACUCUUCCAUGUUGAAGACUCUGACUGAAGCCCAGGGAAGUUAUUAUGCAAGACAAUCUCCUUCUGACCAGCUUUCUAGAACUUUGAACAGAGCUGAACACAGAGACUUGAAGAAACUUGGUUGGAGGAAGUGGUUGUCCAGGAAGUCAGAGAUGGAGGCCUGUGCAGGCAGAAGCCAGGCCUGUGCAGGCAGAAGCCAGAUCCAAAAGGGCCUGGUUCAGGUUCUUCUCCAUAACCAGGGUGGCUUCCAUGGCAUCCAAGGCUUUACCCCACUCAUCCUGGGACGCUUCUGCCCAUCCUGGAAGAGGGCACGGCCACCACACUGGUUUUGCAUCUUCAAGUCGGCUCAGGACCCUCCUAAGGCUUCUCCUAAGGCAGCUUGUGGAAGAAGUGGCCCAGCCCUCCAGAGCCACAUGGUCGUGGUAGAAAUAGAAGCCCAGAGAGAGGCUCUAGGACCCCCUGGCAUUGGCACACGCUGGAGUCCUGGAGGAGCACGUGGUCGGAAGCCUUGGCUUUCUCUCCAUCUAAGGCUUGAUUUAGAUCUACAUCUCAGCACUCGGCAGAGCUACUUUCCCUCCACAUAAACGAGCUGACUCUUUGCCUUUAUAGGUUUUGCUGAAAGCAAAAUCUUAAUUGCCUGUCAUUGAAAUGG